rnacentral:tRNA from 1 species
GGGUAUAGCUCAGUGGUAGAGUGCAUGCCUAAUAUGCAUGAGGUCCUGGGUUCGAUCCUUGGUACCACCA